GAUGAACGCUGGCGGCGUGCUUAAUACAUGCAAGUCGAACGGGAAACCUUUUAUUGAAGCUUCGGCAGAUUUAGCUGGUUUCUAGUGGCGGACGGGUGAGUAACGCGUGGGUAACCUGCCUUAUACAGGGGGAUAACAACCAGAAAUGGUUGCUAAUACCGCAUAAGCGCACAGGACCGCAUGGUCCGGUGUGAAAAACUCCGGUGGUAUAAGAUGGACCCGCGUUGGAUUAGCUAGUUGGCAGGGUAACGGCCUACCAAGGCGACGAUCCAUAGCCGGCCUGAGAGGGUGAACGGCCACAUUGGGACUGAGACACGGCCCAGACUCCUACGGGAGGCAGCAGUGGGGAAUAUUGCACAAUGGGGGAAACCCUGAUGCAGCGACGCCGCGUGAAGGAAGAAGUAUCUCGGUAUGUAAACUUCUAUCAGCAGGGAAGAUAGUGACGGUACCUGACGAAGAAGCCCCGGCUAACUACGUG
rnacentral:rRNA from 1 species